rfam:Ictidomys tridecemlineatus contig037271, whole genome shotgun sequence.
GGGGUUGUGGCUCAGCAGUAGAGCAUUCGCCUAGCACGCGUGAGACCCUGGGUUCGAUCCUCAGCACCA